ACUGGUUAAAGUGGAAAAAUAAAUGGAGAGAAAUAAUUAAGGACAAGAGUAGUUGUCAUUAGAUGUUGAAGGAAAGGAGGUGGCAAUGGCAUAUCCUAUGGAAGAUGCUAAAAACAUGCAACCUCUCCAUUUCACUCUGUCUACUUUCUUUUCUUUUCUUUUUGGUUUCUUUUUAUAAAACCAAAAAAAGUGCCCACAUACUAGACACUACUAGUUAAGUCAUCUCACCCUUUUAUUGCCUACCUGACCAAGAUCACAAGCUCAAAAAUUAAAACCUAUAACAACCAGCACAAUCCUCCUUAUGCAAACCCUCUUAGCACUGCACCUUUCCUCCAUUACUAUGUGAGGCUUUCUUUUCACUACUUUCCCAUGGCCACCCCUUCUUUUGGUUUCUUUUUGCUCAGGAAAUAAAAGAAUGGAGGGGUGGCCAUAUAUACACGGUUCUUGAAAAAGGUAGGGUGUGUGUGUGUGCCUGUGCCUGUGAUGUUAUUCGUUAUGUACUUCUUUGGCUGCUGUGUUUCCUGCUGCAACUCUCUAUUAUAUGUGAUUGAGGAUUGUACAUGGAAAAGUAAAUGGCAAGCAAGCUGUGCUCAACAAACCUGAAUCGCCUUCUUAAUGGCGGUUUCUCUUAUAGGGCAACUUCGAUCCUUUGGCAUUUUCUGUUCCUUCUCUACAUGCGAAUUGAGCUUGAAGGAAACUUUCACAAGGGCGAUUUAGAUUAUUAUGAUACAUAUGCAUAUGUUUUUCUUUACUUUCUUUUUCUUUUUCUUUUUCCCUGUGAUGUGAGAAUUAUGAUUAAUGCUUGCUUUAUAGCAUUUAAUCAUAUGUAUGUGUAUAGGCCUUUGGCCUAAGUUAAUUAGUAAUCUGUUAUUAAUGUCUACUUGUCUGCUUCUUGCUUGAUUCAGUUUUAAGCUUAGUUUCUUCUAGUCCUUAUGGAGCAUUCAUGGAUGAAAAAUAUGUGCCUAAUCCAAAAAGAAAUGGGUUUGUCAUGCUCUUACUGUAUGAUAUGAUGGCCUAUCCAUUUUUCUUGGAUAGUUAAAUCCCUCGUAUCAAAAUUGACCCCCAUAAACUUGUCCCCACCAUGGAGAACACACUGAAGCCUCAUUUUCUUGGAUCGAAAUUUUCCUUUUUCUUUGAAAAAUAAAUGAAGAUGAUCUCUAUAUAUAGAAAUAUUGUCUACCGUUUAGGAGGCUAAAGAUAUAGUUAGAAUACGAAUAAAAAUAUGUACAUUCCAGCCAAUGGAUGAGGCAGAUUUCUAACAUCAUAUUGUAUAACAAUAUUUAACACCCACAUGUUAGAUCAGAUUGCUUAAUUUGAAACAGGGUAACAUCAACCUUAGACUAAGGCCAACUUCAACAUCUAACUAUCCCUGUCUGCUUUUUUUAUGCAUAAUGCACUCAUCUUUCUAACUUGCGAUCACCCUGUGAGCUAUCCUCUGUCAGGUUUGUGUUAGUGGCAGCAAGCCCAAGUUUUGCCUUGGAUUAUGCUGCUUAGCUUUUCUCGGGCAUGCAUGUAUUAAGCCAGGCUUCGUCAUGCUACUUUAUUUGUAUAUGAUUCUCUUUAAUCCCACCAUUACAUUACAUGUCUGUUAAUUUUCUGCAUAUUCCAGUUCCAGCUACAAUUUUGUUUCUUCCCACUGAUCCAUGCAUGUUUUCUGCUUAGUUAUUGCGAGAUUAAAAUCUCUUAAUCUGGGAAUUCAAUUUCUUUGCACCAUGAUUAUUAAUUACCAUAUUACAAGGUUUGUUAGUGCAUAUUACAGUAUGCUUCUCAACUCCAUGUGCUUCUAACUUAAGACAAACUCAAAAACCAAAUCCUAAACUGAUGCUCAAUAGAACUGCAAAAAUGCAGUGAUUAGUGAUUAAAGUAGUUGGCUGAUUUUUAUUUUUAUUGCUCAUCUCAGAUCCUAUUUCUGUUCAUUUCAGCAUUAAAUUAAAUUUUGCUUUUAAAAAACAGAUUUGCUAUUCAUUCUGUAUUUACAAUUUAAUAUAGAAGGUUAUAAAAUAAUAAAAAGGGAAUAACAAAAUGGAAACCAAAUAAACAGUAAGCAAGAACAAAACCAAAUAAAUUUGGAUGUUGUCUUUUGAUUAAGAUAUCUGUAAUUGAAUUUAACAUAAUAUUAUUCAAAUAUAAUAUUCAACAUUAUAUUUAGUUAAAAUUCAUUAAAAUUUAUAAUUUUAUAAAUUUUUUAAAAGAAUUAUUAAAGUCUAGAGGCUCAUAAUUUUGAAGCUUUAUAAUUCUUAAAAGUUUAAAAUUUAUUGCUCUUGAAUGGAUUUUACAAGGAUGUUUUUUAUAUUUGAAAUUUUAUUAUUUUCUUCAUAUUAAAUAUUACAUAGAAAUUCAUUGGUACAAAACCUUCAAAAGAUAAAAAAAUUAAAAAAAAAUCAAGAUAAGGUAUUCAAUAAAAAUAAUACAAAGUAAGAUAUUUAGUCAAAUCAAGAAAUAUAUGAUUGAAAUAAUGCUAUGAUUGAAAUUCAUUAAAAAAUUAAUAAUAUUUAAAAAAAAGGCAUGAGAGAGAAAAUAAAAAUAUAUUCUGAUAUUAUAUAAUAUACUAAUAAAUAAUGUGAAAUUAAUUUUAAGAUUUUAUCUAUUUUGUUAGAGCAUUUUCAUUACACUUUUUAUAUAUGUCAAACUCUUUAUUUUAAAUUUUUUUAUCAUAAAAUGAAACCCCAAUAUAUUUUUUAUUCUUUAAAUAUAAAAUAGAGAGUCAAUUUAAUUCUCUAUAUAUGGAGAGUCAAACUUUACUUUCUA
rnacentral:lncRNA from 1 species